rnacentral:rRNA from 1 species
GACGAACGCUGGCGGCGUGCUUAACACAUGCAAGUCGAACGGAGCGAAUGAAAGCUUGCUUUUAUAAGCUUAGUGGCAAACGGGUGAGUAACACGUAGACAACCUGCCGACAGGAUGGGGACAACAUUCCGAAAGGAAUGCUAAUACCGAAUGAAGCGCAGGAGAGGCAUCUCUCCUGCGUGAAAGAUGGCCUCUAUAUAUAAGCUAUCACCUGUUGAUGGGUCUGCGUCUGAUUAGCUGGUAGGUGAGGUAACGGCUCACCUAGGCGACGAUCAGUAGCCGGUCUGAGAGGAUGAACGGCCACAUUGGGACUGAGACACGGCCCAGACUCCUACGGGAGGCAGCAGUGGGGAAUCUUCCGCAAUGGGCGCAAGCCUGACGGAGCAACGCCGCGUGAGUGAAGAAGGUCUUCGGAUCGUAAAGCUCUGUUGAUGGGGACGAACGUGCCUAAUGCGAAUAGUUUAGGGCAAUGACGGUACCCAUCGAGGAAGCC